UACGUAGGGUGCGAGCGUUGUCCGGAAUUAUUGGGCGUAAAGGGCUCGUAGGCGGUCUGUUGCGUCGGUAGUGAAAACUCAGGGCUUAACCCUGAGCCUGCUUCCGAUACGGGGCAGACUAGAGGUAUGCAGGGGAGAACGGAAUUCCUGGUGUAGCGGUGAAAUGCGCAGAUAUCAGGAGGAACACCGGUGGCGAAGGCGGUUCUCUGGGCAUUACCUGACGCUGAGGAGCGAAAGUGUGGGGAGCGAACAGG
rnacentral:rRNA from 1 species